rnacentral:lncRNA from 1 species
CAGAGCAGCCCUGAGCUUUGGCAGAGAUCAUUCUGUCCUUUUUGGCCGUCUCAGAUGUCCCAUGGCGUCAUCCCUGCGCGUGUCCCUCCUUCCCCGGGCGCACACGGAGCUGCUGGAGCUGCUGGCACAGGGGCAAGGAGGGGACUGGAAUGUUGGCAAGGCUGGAAUCUGCUCAGCUGCCUCCAGACAGGGAUCUGGGAGCUGGGAUGGACCAAAUUUCUCCUCCUUUUUCCAAACAGAAUAUUUGGGGUCACUGCCACAAGAUCCAUCCUGUGGGAAGCUCUGGAUGAAGGUCCAGCAUCUUCACCUGAGGUGCAGCACAGAAUCCCAAAAUCCCCAAGGCUGGAAAAACCCUCCAGGAUCAUUUACUGCCAGGAAAAUCGGGAUUUUAUCUCUCACACUCCUUCCUCACUCCCAGGCUGGAUUCAUCCCCCUCUUCCAGGAAUCCCUGACGUUCCUCCCUCCUCUUCUCUUUCCCAAUCCUUUAUUUCUCCCACACCCUGGUCCCAUCCAUUACUGGGACAUGGAACAGGAUCUGUUUUCCUGCUGACAAUUCCAUAUUUUCUGCCAGGAAAAACCCAGAUUCCCUGGACUGGAUCUCUCCCACUCCUCACUUCCAGAUAUCCCUGGCAUUCCUCUCUCCUCUUCUUUUUCCCAGUCCUUUAUUUCUCCCACAGAAAUAAAGGACAGAACCCCUUGAUUCUGUCCAUUACUGGGACAUGGAACAGGAUCUAUUUUCCUGCUGAAAAUUCCCGGUUUUCUGCCAGGAAAAUCAGGAUUGGAUCUGUCCCAGUCCACCCCCUUUCCCAGGCUGGAUUCAUCCCCCUCUUCCAGACAUCCCUGAUGUUCCUCUCUCCUCUUCUCUUUCCCAAUCCUUUAUUUCUCCCACAGAAAUAAAGGACAGAACCCCUUGGUUCUGUCCAUUACUGGGACAUGGAACAGGAUCUGUUUUCCUGCUGAAAAUUCCCAGUUUUCUGACAGGAAAAUCAGGAUUGGAUCUCUCCCACUCCUUCCUCAGUUCCAGGAAUCCCUGACCUUCCUCCCUCCUCUUCUCUUUCCCAAUCCUUUAUUUCACCACCCUGGUCCCAUCCAUUACUGGGACACGGAACAGGAUCUGUUUUCCUGCUGACAAUUCCAUAUUUUCUGCCAGGAAAAUCAGGAUUUUAUCUCUCCCCUUUCCAGACUGGGUUCACCCCCCUUUUCCUACAUAUUCCCCUCCCCAGGACCCCUUCAAGCCCUAAAUUUGGGACAUUGCCCAGCAGCGCCCCGACAUUCCCGGGGCUCUCCCAGGGGUGGAAUUCCAGCGGAAUUCCAUUUUUGGAAGCGUGGCUGUGCUCCAGGGCUCUCCUUGGCAGCUUUUGCCUCCCACGUCACUUGUUUUGGAGCUUCUGCUGCUCCCGCUGACGUCCGUGGGGCCACGUCAAAGCAAGGGAAGCGCGGCCCUUUUUUGGGAACAAAGGCUGUGGGAUUUGGGAUUAUUUGGGAUUAUUUGGGAUUAUUUAGGAUUAUUUGGGAUUUGGGAACAGCUGGGCUCUGUCAGCAAUUCAAGGAUAAACACUCCAGGUUGUUUUUUUCCCCCCUCUGCUCAGCACAAUAUUUUUAUUUCUCUUUAUGAAGCGUUGUUUCGCUGUCGAGGGUGGGAUUCUUCGCCAGAAUUUUUUUUAAAUUUGGUUUUUUCCUCCCCAUUCCAGCCUCUCAAAAAUAGAAAAGGGAAAAUAUCCUUUGGCUCCCACAGAAUUUGGGAGUUUUGAGUCCUGAAGCAGAAUUGAGGAUUUUUUGGGGUGUUCAGAAGGUUUGUGGAGGAGUAAAGGAGAAUUGGGGGCUUCAAAUGUCUGGGAAAGGGAGAUUUAAAAAUAAAAAAAAAAAAAAAAAGAAGGAUAAAAAAAAAAUGGGGGUUAAAAAAGGGGGAUAAAAAUGGGAGGUAAAUUAUAAACGGGGAUAAAAAAGGGAGGUAAAAAAUAAAGGGGGAUAAAAAAAUUUAGGGGGAUAAAAAAGAGAGGCAAAAAAUAAAGGAGGAUAAAAAAAGGGAAAAAAAUAAAGGGGGAUAUAAAAGUGGAUAAAAAGGGAGGUAAAAAAUAAAGGGGGAUCAAAAAAGGGGAUAAAAAUAAAGGGGGAUAAAAAAGGCAUAAAAAAUAAAGGGAGAUAAAAGUAAAGGGGGAUAAAAAAUAAAGGGGAAUAAAAACAAAGGGGGAUAAAAAAUAACGGGGGAUAAAAAAAGGGAUAAAAAAAUAAAGGGGGGUAAAAAUAAAGGGGGAGAAAAAGUAAAUGGGAAUAAAAAAUAAAUGGGGCUUAAAAGGGUAUAAAAAAGAGGGGGGUUAAAAAAGGAGGGGUAAAAAUAAAGGGAGGUAAAAGAAAAGGGGCAAUAAAAAAGAGUGGGACAAAAAAAGAGGCUAAAAAUAAAGGGGGUAAAAAUAAAGGGGGAUAAAAAUGGGUAAAAAAUAAAGGGGGAUAAAGGGGGCAAAAAAUAAAGGAGGAUAAAAAUGGGUAAAAAAUAAAGGGGGGUAAAAAGGGGUAAAAAAUAAAGGAGGAUACAAAAGGAGGGAUAAAAAAGUGGGAAUAGAAAAAAAAAAAAGGAGGACAAAAAAUGGGAGAUGAAAAUGGAAAAUCCCUUUAUCUCAAACCCCACUCUUAAAAAUGAACAAAUCAGCAGAAAAGACAGAAAUCAGUGGGAAAAAAUCAAAUUACAGAGGCAGGAGGAGGAGCUGGCUGAGCUGGGACAGCCCCAGGUGAAGGACAGGGACACUGGCUGGAAAAUCCCUUUAUCCCAAGCUGGAGAGAUCCAAAAAAUAAGAAAAAUGAGGAUGACACUCAGGGCUUUCAUCUUAUCGAGGAGCUGGAACCUUCUGGGCAGGGCAGGGAGCAGGAGGGCCCAGCAGGAGCUCCUCAGCCUGGGCCAGAUGUGGUCAGAGCCUUUUUUAUCCCACAUGUGCUGCCUUUCUUUGCAUGGCCCAAGUGUCAUUAGGUGCAAUUAAGGCAAUUAUGCCGAAUUUUAGCAGCCCACAGAGUAAUUUGGGGCAAUUUUUAGCAUCCCCUGGGGUGUUCUGAGAGGCUGUGGUGGCCCUGCUGAUGAUUUUUCUCAGGUCAGGUGUGGCUCAGGUGACACCUUUGAAGUGGACCUUGUUGUGCUGCUGUUCUUGGGAUGGGACUGAAGCAGACCAACUCCAAUUUUCCAAAUUUUCCCUUCCUUCUUGUGUGAAAAAAAAAAAAAUUGAGUAACCCAUGGUGGGCUUUUAUCCUGGGGAUGGUUCAGCCUCCAGCGUGGGAAGGAAAGGACACUGAAGAAGCUCCUGGGUGUGCAAAAAGCGAUUUUAUUUGAUUCUAAAAUGAAGAUUUGAGGCCGUGGGGAGCAAUCCAAAGCUCUGCUAUCUCCAAAUCCAUGGUGGACUUUUAUCCUGUCCAACCUCCAACGUAGGAGGGAAGAGAUAUUGGGAGAAGCUCCUGGGUGUGCAAAAAGUGAUUUUAUUUGAUGCCAAAAUGAAGAUUUGAGGCCGUGGGGAGCAAUACAAAGCUCUGCCCUCUCCAAAUCCAUGGUGGACUUUUAUCCUGUCCAGCCUCCAGCGUGGGAGGGAAGGGACACUGGGAGAAGCUCCUGGGUGUGCAAAAAGUGAUUUUAUUUGAUGCCAAAAUGAAGAUUUGAGGCUGUGGGGAGCGAUCCAAAGCUCUGCCCUCUCCAAAUCCAAAAUCCAUGAUGGACUUUUAUCCUGGGAAUGGUCCAGCCUCCAGCUUGGGAGGGAAGGGACACUGGGAGAAGUUCCUGAGGGUUCUUCUCAGGCUACACCCACGAAAUAUCAACGAGGCCACAGCUGCCAGGCCCUGCAAGCAGCACUUAGGGCACAAAAGCAGCCCAGCGGAAGGAGGCAACACCCAGAGCCAGCUCAGAUCCUCUUCCCAAGCGGAUCCCUGCUCCAGGAGAUCCCUCCAGGCUCACUCCGGGCUCUUCCCAAGGAGGCCUCGCCCUUCCCUGGCAGAGGUGGAGGGUUGGGUUUGUUGGGCUGGUGUGGGAAUCCAGAGCUUCCCUCUGGCUGCCCUGGCAGGUCUGGGACCCUGGCAGGGGUCAGGAACCCCCCUGGACAGAGCCCCCAGAGACACUGGCUGUGAUCUCUGCCCAUGGAAAAGAGUUUUCAAUCUUACAGGAUGAAUUACCAGCUCUGAGUGUUUGAUAUGAGUAAUAAUUAAAUGUGGCACGGGUGCAAAAGUAAAAUUUUAGGAUUCUAGAUUAGGGGUUCAAAGGGGACAAGAUGGAGGAAAUUGGGUGUGCCUUGUCCUUUUUCUCCUUCUUCAUGCCCUCCAUGUUUCACUGUGGUGUUGGCAUUUUUCUGUUGGUUCAGGCUGGGGACACACUGUCCAACGCAGGUGACAGAUAUUGGCACGUUAUUGUAAAUCCAGCACAGGUAGUUUGUGGUAUUUAAUGUUUGUACCAUCCCACUGAGGGCAGAGCCCCACACGCUGCCCUGCAGGACAGAGCUGCGGCAGGGCAGCAGAACAUGUUAGAGAUAAACAGAAUAAACAACCUUGAAACAGCACAGGCGAAUUAUGAAUUCUAAGGAAUUUUGGUCCUUUAUCCCACCACUGCUAUGCCCUGAUUGCUUUUUAAAAAAAAAAUUCAUGGAGAUGUGAGGAAUUUUGGUCUCUUACCACUGCUGUGUCCUGGUUGCUUUUUUAAAAAAAAAAAUCAGGGAAAUUGGAGGAAUUUUAGUCCUUUUCCCAACACUGUUGUGCCCUGAUUGCUUUUUUUGGCUUGGAACAGGAGGUGGCAUCUCCCAGGCUUGUUUUUCUCCAUCCUGAACCCCCCAAAUUUCCCGUGGAUUCCUGUCCAAGGACUUGUUGUCACCCUCACCUGUCCCCAGGUGUGUGCAGGAGGGAGUGGCUGUUUUGACUGGAGUCUGUGUUUAUCCUGGGAGUUUCCAGAGGGGAAAGAGCAAGGCCUGGCUGGGCAGCCACACCCCAGAUAAGGAGGAAUUCCUUUCAGAUAAAAAGGAAUUACCGAGGGGUAAAUUUGCCUGUGCCCAGCUGUGCCCCCCACGUGUUGUUUACCCUGGGCUGGGGGAGAUUUUAUCCCUUUGGGGUGUGGCAGGUACAUCCUUCUCUCUCUCAGGAUUUUUUCAUAGAAGAACACAGAGAGAAAGAAAAUAAUUUCUAUUUCUGCUCCUUGUUUUUUCCUAUCUGGAAUGUGUUUGGGGAAUUGUUUGCCUGGUGCUUGGUUGGAUUCUUGUCCCCUUUGAACCCCUAAUCUAGAAACCUAAAAUUUUACUUUUGCACCCGUGCCACACUUAAUUAUUACUCC